CACAUGCUUUAUGUCAAUAUUACGUGUAUGCACACAACAAGUGCACUGCAUGCACACAUCCAUGGUAGCUCGCAUAACGCGCACAUGCAGUCUCCAAUAAGGAAAGUGCAUGUGCCCGCAGGAAAUGGAUUUUUCCUGUGGUAUAAAGACAUUUGACCCCUACAAGGAUUCCCACCAAUCCAAAGCCAAAAAGGAAAUGAAUUUUGGUCAUCCCAAGUUUUCUAAAGUGGUUUUGACUUAAGAUUCACCUAAGGAGGCCCAAGAUAACUAACUCAAAGAGAGCCUAAACAAAGUUCAAGGAUGUUUUGCCUUAAUUUAAAGAAGCUGGUC
rnacentral:lncRNA from 1 species